rnacentral:rRNA from 1 species
UAGAGUUUGAUCAUGGCUCAGGACGAACGCUGGCGGCGUGCUUAACACGUGCAAGUCGAGCGAUGAAGCACCUUCGGGUGUGAAUUAGCGGCGAACGGGUGAGGAACACGUGAGAAAUCUGCCUUCAACACUGGGAUAACUCCGGGAAACCGGGGCUAAUACCGGAUAUGAAACCUGCGGGCAUCCGCGGGUUUGGAAAGUUUUUCGGUUGAAGAUGAUCUCGCGGCCUAUCAGCUUGUUGGUGAGGUAAUGGCUCACCAAGGCGACGACGGGUAGCCGGCCUGAGAGGGCGACCGGCCACACUGGGACUGAGACACGGCCCAGACUCCUACGGGAGGCAGCAGUGGGGAAUAUUGGGCAAUGGAGGAAACUCUGACCCAGCGACGCCGCGUGCGGGAUGAAGGCCUUCGGGUUGUAAACCGCUUUCAGCAGGGAAGAAGCGAAAGUGACGGUACCUGCAGAAGAAGCACCGGCUAACUAUGUGCCAGCCGCCGCGGUAAUAC